AAUGCGAUAUCCGAAAAGCAAAUAGAGUAGGAA
rfam:Chryseobacterium molle strain DSM 18016 genome assembly, contig: Ga0131196_101